GAAGGGCUGAAGUGCAAAAACUGCAAGAUUACAAAAAUGAAUGGAGAUUUACAGUUAGAGCGAGUUCAAGGUAGAGAGAAAAGGGGAAAAAAAAGAUUAGCGCUAGACAUGCCGCAGGAGGAGACGAAAACAAAGGUCCAAAGAGAUGGAAGGGAAAAAAAGGACAAGCCUGUCGAGUUAGGAAACAACAGAUAUAAAUAGUGCAUGAAGCUGAAUGUGCACAGUGUGGAGAAGUAGAACGUGAAAUCACACUUUGAAGUUUAGAGAAGAUCUAUAGGUUCAAGUCACAAAAGCAACCAUGACCUCAGCAGCCCUAUUCCCGAGGCCACCUCUUCUAAUUCCCACAAAGGCAAGGUAAGGCAAGACGAUAAGAAGAUGCUCAAGGCACAGAAGCUGGCGACGCUCAAUGUGGAGGAUCAGCAAGUCAACUCCAAUCCCUCCCCGGAUGACUGAACUCCUCACCUUAUCUCCAAAGGGUGAGCCCAGAGGAAAAAAGCUCAUUUCAGCCUCUGGGAUCCACGAUCUUGUCCUUUUUGGUUAUUACCCAAAAUUUGUCGGAGUGGAAACGUAAAGCAACCGGGAAAUUGAAAGCUUUGCUUUCGGACUCGGCUGGACAAUCCGGUAAAGCGACUGCAUCUACAUGUCAAUCUUACAAUCCGUCGGUCGAAAACCCAACAAAACCUAGGGAUGCUUGGUUUCUCAAAAUUCUCUAAAAUCGAUCUAUUAAAGUAGUCGUCGCUUAAUUAGAAAAUUGAUUAGGUUUCGAUUAAUCGAUUAAUUUUCUCUCUGAGCUUUUUCUGUUUCACACAUUUUAUGUAAUUUAUUUGCUUCAGACUCCAAUAUUUGGCAUAUUUCAAUUGUUGUAUAUAUUUAAAUUUCUUUUUUUAAUACAAAAAAUGAUGCCAAAAAUGGAUGAAAUGUGAAUUAUUAUAACAGUAAAAAAAAAAAUAAACUGAUGAAAGUAAAAGCCGGUUGGCGCGUGUAUUUAGAAUUCUGACAGGACAGCGGAUCUUGUGAAUGGUGAUGUUUUAU